CUAAGAGCAGUUCUGUGUGCCUUGGUCUUGAGUUGGAUGAAAUUUAUUGAAACAAUGUUUGAUGUUUGGAUGCACCUUCUGUCACCAGCCUCUACUUGUUUUCUCAACUACAACAAUGGAUUUUGCUCCGUGGAACAAGCUGCUCUCAUAUCACCUCCAGUCAGAUUGAUUCACAGGUUUAAAGAUACCAAAAGGAAAAUAUACUGAAACAGAAACAAGAAAAAAGAAAAAAAAAUCCAAACCAUGCCAAGAAAGGAGGAAGGAAAAUACAAAAUAAAAAAUUAUGGUGGUGGUGGUGGUGAUGGUGAUGAUGACAAUGCUUACAAUGAGAUAUAUAAGAAAUAAGAUGAUGCCAUAACAACACUGCACCUUGUAUGGAAAAGUAAAAAUAAACCUAGAAAGAUAAACUACUAAUUGCAUUUCUUUUUCUUUAUUCUUUGCUUAUGUAUUAUGUGCCUAUGUAAGAAAUCGUCAUCAUCAUCAAUAUCAUUAUUAUUAUCAUCAUCUUCAUCUUUAUCCUCCUUAUUGAUUUUUGUUCUGUCUUUCCCAUCAGUUUUCAACGUCACUUCUGAAUGAAUCGACAGGGUGUUAUUCAGAAAGUCAAUGUCUCACAAUUUAUUUUUAUGAAUCAGACAAGUAUAUACACACAAACACACACGUACACAUACUUUGUUGACCACAAAACCUUCUUUUCUUCUUCCAAUUAACUCCAAAUAAGCCUUUUCUAUACAAACUCCACUAAUUAUACAACAAAAGAAUUCCAUGAUGGCAUAUAUAAUAACCAUUAGUAGAUGGAUGAUCAAGAUUUCUAUGGAUCCAUAUCAAUGAUUACACAGCGGUUUUUGUUCAUCUGCUGGUACAUAGGAUAAUGGACACAUUUAUCGAUUGACCUGUCCUAGACAAUUGAUUUCAUGUCAACUUUUCUCUGCUCACAAACCAGACAUGACACAACGUUUUCAGUGAAGUUUAAGUGAUCAAACUAUGUAUAUAAGAUGUAGUAUAAUAGACUUGC